AUACGGAGGAUCCGAGCGUUAUCCGGAUUUAUUGGGUUUAAAGGGAGCGUAGGCGGACGCUUAAGUCAGUUGUGAAAGUUUGCGGCUCAACCGUAAAAUUGCAGUUGAUACUGGGUGUCUUGAGUACAGUAGAGGCAGGCGGAAUUCGUGGUGUAGCGGUGAAAUUCUUAGAUAUCACGAAGAACUCCGAUUGCGAAGGCAGCCUGCUGGACUGUAACUGACGCUGAUGCGCGAAAGUGUGGGUAUCAAACAGGAUUAGAUUCCCUGGUAGUCCACACAGUAAACGAUGAAUACUCGCUGUUUGCGAUAUACAGUAAGCGGCCAAGCGAAAGCGUUAAGUAUUCCACCUGGGGAGUACGCCGGCAACGGUGAAACUCAAAUGAAUUGACGGGG
rnacentral:rRNA from 1 species